rnacentral:rRNA from 1 species
GUUGAUCCUGCCGGACCCGACUGCUAUCGGAUUGAGAUUUAGCCAUGCGAGUCGAACGUCCCCCUGUUGCGGGGGGCGUGGCGUACGGCUCAGUAACACGUAGUCAACCUGCCCUGGAGACAUGGACAACCCCGGGAAACUGGGAUUAAUCCGUGAUAGGUCAUCUCAUCUGGAAGGAGAGAUGGCUUAAAGGGGUGCGCGGGCUUCUUCCGUGCAUUCGCUCCAGGAUGGGACUGCGUCCGAUCAGGCUGUUGGCGGGGUAAUGGCCCACCAAACCUGUAACCGGUACGGGCCUUGAGAGAGGUGGCCCGGAGAUGGACACUGAGAGAAGGGUCCAGGUCCUACGGGGCGCAGCAGGCGCGAAACCUUCGCAAUGCGCGAAAGCGUGACGAGGUUAAUCCGAGUGGCCCCCGCUGAGGGGGUCUUUUGUCAGCUGUAAAUAGGCAGGCGAAUAAGGGGAGGGCAAGCCUGGUGU